CUGCGGCUGCGGCUGCGGCUGCGGCUGCGGCUGCAACUGCGGCUUCGGCUUCGGCUGGCUCCGCGCGCCUCCCGGCUUCCGCCGCCGCCUCAGGGCGCCCGCCCCCCGCCCGCAGCCCCUCCCGCCCACCCGCCGGCCCCGCCCCGCCCCCGAGGCCCCGCCCCGCCCCGCCCUCGCUCCCUACCUGCCCGGGGGGGGGUGGGCCGCGGGGACCCGGUUCCAGCUGUGACCGCCGCGCGCCCGGAGGUGCCGGGGCCGCCUGGAAUGCCCCGCGCGUGUGCUGCGCCCCGCGGGGAGGCAGGCUGGCCGGUGCGCACGCUCCAGUCCGGGGGGCGAAGGGAGGAGGGUCCGAGGGGCCCAGGGGCGCUGCCCGGGGCUGGGAUGUGGGCGCCCCUGGGCUUGGCGCGGGCCGCGGUGGGAUCGGAGGGUCCCGGCGGGGGCGGGGUGGGGCAAGCCGUCUGUCCCCCCACGAGCGUGGGGGAAGCAGGGGAGAUCAUUAGGGUGGGGAGCACUUUGCAUAUUUUCCAAAAGUGGCCCCACGCGCGGGGCGCUCGCAGGUGCUUCACGGCGUAUCCAGCGCCUUCGCAAAGGGGAUCUCUCAACACCGACACGGCUGCUAAGCGCAGGGCGCAUCUAGACAUUAGAACAUUUGAGCGACGGGACCGCUUGGGUGACCCAGGGGUUGAGCGUCUGCCUUUGGCUCAGGUGGUGAUUCCGGGGACCUGGGAUCCAGUUCCGCAUCACGGGGACCCUGCGGGGACCCUGCUUCUCCCUCUGCCUGUGUCUCUGCCUCUCUCUCUCUCUCAUGAAAAAAUAAAUGGAAUCUUAAAACAACAACAAAACAUUCCAGCGACUGUCAGGUGAAUGUGUAGAAUGGGUCCACGCCCAAGGCUGAAAAAGAGGCACUUAGGGAACUAAAUCCAGGGAAAGCAAGGGAGGCCGCCAGGGGGGGUGGAGAAAGCGAAUGUCACCCUCAGCUGUAUCCUUAACCUGAUACCAACAGGCUUGGGGAGAUGAAAGACCUGGUGAAAUUAUGAAGACAAUGUAAUGCAUUCCCAUACCUUUGAAAAGAUUCUCACAGCUCCUUGGCCAAAAAAAGUUUAGGACCUAAGAAGAAAGAGGAAAAAUGGGAUUUUAGGUUGGGUUUUAGAAGAAUUCCCUGAGUUAGGGAUAUGGAGAAUAAAUACACAUGUUCUCAGGAGGGGCUGGGGGCC
rnacentral:lncRNA from 12 species